UACGUAGGUGGCAAGCGUUGUCCGGAAUUAUUGGGCGUAAAGCGCGCGCAGGUGGUUUCUUAAGUCUGAUGUGAAAGCCCACGGCUCAACCGUGGAGGGUCAUUGGAAACUGGGGAACUUGAGUGCAGGAGAGAAGAGUGGAAUUCCACGUGUAGCGGUGAAAUGCGUAGAUAUCGGGAGGAACACCAGUGGCGAAGGCGACUACCUGGCCUGUUCUUGACGCUGAGGCGCGAAAGCUAGGGGAGCAAACGGG
rnacentral:rRNA from 1 species